UGCAAGUCUGGUGCCAGCAGCCGCGGUAAUUCCAGCUCCAAUAGCGUAUACUAAAAUUGUUGCGGUUAAAAAGCUCGUAGUUGCAUUUGUGCGCCGCGCUGUCGGUGCACCGCAUCCGCGGUGAUACUGACACGUCUGCGGAGCAUAUCGUCGGUGAGCCGGCGGUAAUACGCCGGUUCAAUAUCAAAAUCCUAUCGCGGUGCUCUUCGGUGAGUGUCGAGGUGGGCCGACAAUUUUACUUUGAACAAAUUAGAGUGCUCAAAGCGGGCUCAAAAUGCUGCUUGAAUAUUUCGUGCAUGGAAUAAUAGAAUAUGAUCUCGGUUCUAUUUUGUUGGUUUUCAGAACUCCGAGGUAAUGAUUAAUAGGGAUAACUGGGGGCAUUCGUAUUGCGACGUUAGAGGUGAAAUUCUUGGAUCGUCGCAAGACGAACAUCAGCGAAAGCAUUUGCCAAAGGUGUUUUCAUCAAUCAAGAACGAAAGUUAGAGGUUCGAAGGCGAUUAGAUACCGCCCUAGUUCUAACCGUAAAUAUGUCAUCUAGCGAUCCGCCGACGUUACUACAAUGGCUCGGCGGGCAGCUUCCGGGAAACCAAAGAUUUUGGACUCCGGGGGGAGUAUGGUUGCAAAGCUGAAACUUAAAGGAAUUGACGGAAGA
rnacentral:rRNA from 1 species